rnacentral:rRNA from 1 species
UGGGGAAUUUUGCACAAUGGGGGAAACCCUGAUGCAGCGACGCCGCGUGAUUUAGAAGGCCUUCGGGUUGUAAAAAUCUUUUCUAUGGGAAGAAAAUGACAGUACCAUAGGAAUAAGGACCGGCUAAUUACGUGCCAGCAGCCGCGGUAAUACGUAAGGUCCGAGCGUUGUCCGGAAUCAUUGUGCGUAAAGGGUACGUAGGCGGGUAAGCAAGUUAGAAGUGAAAUCCUAUAGCUCAACUAUAGUAAGCUUUUAAAACUGCUCAUCUUGAGGUAUGGAAGGGAAAGUGGAAUUCCUAGUGUAGCGGUGAAAUGCGCAGAUAUUAGGAGGAAUACCGGUGGCGAAGGCGACUUUCUGGCCAUAACCUGACGCUGAGGUACGAAAGCGUGGGUAGCAAACAGG